UACGAAGGGGGCUAGCGUUGCUCGGAAUCACUGGGCGUAAAGGGUGCGUAGGCGGGUCUUUUAAGUCAGGGGUGAAAUCCUGGAGCUCAACUCCAGAACUGCCUUUGAUACUGAAGAUCUUGAGUCUGGGAGAGGUGAGUGGAACUGCGAGUGUAGAGGUGAAAUUCGUAGAUAUUCGCAAGAACACCGGUGGCGAAGGCGGCUCACUGGCCCGGAACUGACGCUGAUGUGCGAAAGCGUGGGGAGCAAACAGG
rnacentral:rRNA from 1 species